rnacentral:lncRNA from 1 species
GGCAGUCUCUAAGGCAUACCCCCAGAAUGAGAUUGGUAGCGUAGCUCGACUCAUCAUGGAACGAACCAUAUCCAACAAGGUUCGAUUACGCCUCUCAGCCACACCAUUCAACUGUGGUGUCCUGGGAGGUGUCAAUUGUGAGACUAUCCCACAUUCCCUUAGAUAGUCGAGGAACUCUGAACUAAGAUACUCACCACCACGAUCGGAUCGAAGCAUCUUAAUGUUCCUGCCCAAUUGAUUCUCGACUUCCUGUUUAAAUUCCUUAAACCUCUCGAAAGUCUCUGACUUAUGCUUGAUCAAGUAGACAUAUCCAUAUCUACUAUAAUCAUCAGUAAAAGUCAAAUAAUAACGAUUAGCAUCCCUUGUGGCAUGUUUGAAUGGUCCACACACAUCCGUGUGUAUAAGGUCCAACAAACCUUCACCCCUUUCACACGAGCCUGUGAAGGGUGACUUUGUCAUUUUUCCAAGUAAGCAUGAUUCGCAACUAUCAUCUGACUUUAGGUCAAAUGACUCCAAGACUCCAUCCUUUUGGAGUUGGCCUAUGCGUUUCUUGCUUAUAUGUCCAAGACGACAAUGCCAUAAUGAUGCUUGAUCCAAGUUAUUAUUAUUAACAGAAUCAACACACAAUACGUUAUUUCCUAAGUUAUCAACCACAGAUACAGUUUCAUAUACGCCAUCACAAAGUAAUGCUUUAAAAUAAAGAACAUUAUUAAAGGUUAUUUCCUAAGUUAUCAACCACAGAUACAGUUUCAUAUACGCCAUCACAAAGUAAUGCUUUAAAAUAAAGAACAUUAUUAAAGAAAGCAUUAAUCGAACCAACUUCAUUAUCAAAUGAAAAGGUGAAACCUUGUUUAUACAAAGCAUGAAAGGAAAUAAU